ensembl:snRNA U6 U6 spliceosomal RNA
GUGCUUACUUCAGCACAAAUACUAAAAUUGGAAUGACACAGAGAAGAUUAGCACAGCCCCUGCACAAGGAUGAUGCAGAAACUCGUGAAGCAUUCCAUAUUUUU